AAAUUGAAGAGUUUGAUCAUGGCUCAGAUUGAACGCUGGCGGCAGGCCUAACACAUGCAAGUCGAACGGUAACAGGAAGAAGCUUGCUUCUUUGCUGACGAGUGGCGGACGGGUGAGUAAUGUCUGGGAAACUGCCUGAUGGAGGGGGAUAACUACUGGAAACGGUAGCUAAUACCACAUAACGUCGCAAGACCAAAGAGGGGGACCUUCGGGCCUCUUGCCAUCGGAUGUGCCCAGAUGGGAUUAGCUAGUAGGUGGGGUAACGGCUCACCUAGGCGACGAUCCCUAGCUGGUCUGAGAGGAUGACCAGCCACACUGGAACUGAGACACGGUC
rnacentral:rRNA from 1 species